rfam:Myotis brandtii contig202728, whole genome shotgun sequence.
CUUUGGGGGGGGGAGUCCCUUAGCCCAGAUUGUGAAAGGGUGCAGGCCAGGCCAAGGGACCCCACCAGUGCAUG